rnacentral:rRNA from 8 species
GAUGAACGCUGGCGGCGUGCCUAAUACAUGCAAGUCGAACGAGUUCUCGUUGAUGAUCGGUGCUUGCACCGAGAUUCAACAUGGAACGAGUGGCGGACGGGUGAGUAACACGUGGGUAACCUGCCCUUAAGUGGGGGAUAACAUUUGGAAACAGAUGCUAAUACCGCAUAGAUCCAAGAACCGCAUGGUUCUUGGCUGAAAGAUGGCGUAAGCUAUCGCUUUUGGAUGGACCCGCGGCGUAUUAGCUAGUUGGUGAGGUAAUGGCUCACCAAGGCGAUGAUACGUAGCCGAACUGAGAGGUUGAUCGGCCACAUUGGGACUGAGACACGGCCCAAACUCCUACGGGAGGCAGCAGUAGGGAAUCUUCCACAAUGGACGCAAGUCUGAUGGAGCAACGCCGCGUGAGUGAAGAAGGCUUUCGGGUCGUAAAACUCUGUUGUUGGAGAAGAAUGGUCGGCAGAGUAACUGUUGUCGGCGUGACGGUAUCCAACCAGAAAGCCACGGCUAACUACGUGCCAGCAGCCGCGGUAAUACGUAGGUGGCAAGCGUUAUCCGGAUUUAUUGGGCGUAAAGCGAGCGCAGGCGGUUUUUUAAGUCUGAUGUGAAAGCCCUCGGCUUAACCGAGGAAGCGCAUCGGAAACUGGGAAACUUGAGUGCAGAAGAGGACAGUGGAACUCCAUGUGUAGCGGUGAAAUGCGUAGAUAUAUGGAAGAACACCAGUGGCGAAGGCGGCUGUCUGGUCUGUAACUGACGCUGAGGCUCGAAAGCAUGGGUAGCGAACAGGAUUAGAUACCCUGGUAGUCCAUGCCGUAAACGAUGAAUGCUAGGUGUUGGAGGGUUUCCGCCCUUCAGUGCCGCAGCUAACGCAUUAAGCAUUCCGCCUGGGGAGUACGACCGCAAGGUUGAAACUCAAAGGAAUUGACGGGGGCCCGCACAAGCGGUGGAGCAUGUGGUUUAAUUCGAAGCAACGCGAAGAACCUUACCAGGUCUUGACAUCUUUUGAUCACCUGAGAGAUCAGGUUUCCCCUUCGGGGGCAAAAUGACAGGUGGUGCAUGGUUGUCGUCAGCUCGUGUCGUGAGAUGUUGGGUUAAGUCCCGCAACGAGCGCAACCCUUAUGACUAGUUGCCAGCAUUUAGUUGGGCACUCUAGUAAGACUGCCGGUGACAAACCGGAGGAAGGUGGGGAUGACGUCAAAUCAUCAUGCCCCUUAUGACCUGGGCUACACACGUGCUACAAUGGAUGGUACAACGAGUUGCGAGACCGCGAGGUCAAGCUAAUCUCUUAAAGCCAUUCUCAGUUCGGACUGUAGGCUGCAACUCGCCUACACGAAGUCGGAAUCGCUAGUAAUCGCGGAUCAGCACGCCGCGGUGAAUACGUUCCCGGGCCUUGUACACACCGCCCGUCACACCAUGAGAGUUUGUAACACCCGAAGCCGGUGGCGUAACCCUUUUAGGGAGCGAGCCGUCUAAGGUGGGACAAAUGAUUAGGGUGAAG